GGACGGGUGGCCGAGCGGCUCAAGGCGCACGCCUGGAAAGCGUGUGGGCACCACGAGUGCCUCGUGGGUUCGAAUCCCACCCCGUCCG
rnacentral:tRNA from 1 species